CCUACGGGUGUCAGCAGUGGGGGAUAUUGGACAAUGGGGGAAACCCUGAUCCAGCAACGCCGCGUGAGUGAAGAAGGCCCUCGGGUUGUAAACUUCUUUUGUCAGGGCCGAAAAAGGUGACGGUACCUGACGAAUAAGCCGCUGCUAACUACGUGCCAGCAGCCGCGGUAAUACGUAGGUGACAAGCGUUAUCCGGCUUUACUGGGUGUAAAGGGCGUGUAGGCGGGACGGCAAGUCAGAUGUGAAAUUCCAGGGCUCAACCCUGGAACUGCAUUUGAAACUGGAGUUCUUGAGGGAUGUAGAGGCAGGCGGAAUGCCGGGUGUAGCGGUGAAAUGCGUAGAUAUAAGGAGGAACACCAGGGGCGAAGGCGGCCUGCUGGACAUUAACUGACGCUGAGGCGCGAAAGCGUGGGGAGCAAACAGGAUUAGAUACCCCGGUAGUC
rnacentral:rRNA from 1 species